GGGGCCUUUCUCCAUCCUCCAGGCAGUUCCAGAUGCUGCCACAAAAAUGCUUAGCUCCCUUUUCUGGUCAUCUUUAAGUUCCCUCACUGGUUCUCACACCAAAUACAAACCUGAAGAUGAAAUAAGUCAUUGCUGUGCACUGCUGAACCCCAGCCUAUGCAGGUGACAGAUGACUGAUGCCAGCCCAGCUAAAGCCUCACUUCAUUCUUGUGAUUUUGUGGGCACAAAAGAACUUGAAUGAGUUGAACCUAAAGUUAAAACUAAACCAGAAGACAGUAAGCCAUUUGCUCAGCAGCCUCUAUAGCAAUCGCUCUUAUAGAAUAAGGGACAGGGGAAUGACAGUGGCCCCCAUGGCUCCCAGUGGCUCGUGCUUCUUCGGCAUUUCCUACAUUUCCCUUCCAUCUUCCUCACUGGAAUGACACUUGCAACCCUCCAAGCCAGGGCACUAUAUUAAGUGCUGUACAUACAGUACUUCACUGCAUACAUACAGUAAUACUAUUAUUAUUGUGUUAUUAUUAUUAUUGCGUUUUUGCAGAUGAUGAAACAGAGGUCCUAUAAGCAUUUCGUAGCUCUGGUGCUGAGCUCAGGACUUAAUGUAUAUCAAGG
rnacentral:lncRNA from 1 species